UCCAUGUUUUAAAGUUUUUCUUAUUUUGCGCUUAUUUUGUCUCCUGUUAAUGCUUCAAAAUAGAAGCAGCACAUCUGUUUCUGCGGGAAACCCUAGCACGGGUUACAGGGCUAUGUCAGGAAGAUCAAGCAUGCCAGUGAGACGCCCUCCGCCACCUCCUACUCCUCGACCACCGACGCAGAGACCUAGAUGUCCUUUCGGGCGUUAAAAUCCGAGAAAUGUUCGCAUCGGACCGUAAUCAGUGGGAACAUUAUAUGGACAGCAGAGCGACACCGGCGGCGACGGAGCAAACGCGACUCGAACGUCCGUAUAAACGCUACUGCCACAAGUACACCAUUGUAUUGGCAGCACAAAGCAGGGACAGCUCAGCGCUGGAGGGAAGAAAGUUCAAAAAGGGAAACCCAGCAAUUAGUCCCAAGAAUCCUACAAGCAGAGAUACAUACCCUAAUACAAUACAACGACCUACCUACUAUACUACACGACGAACCACAACUACGAGACGCCCAGCAUUUGGCAAGUGGGGAUAACUUCAUGGAGGACGUCUACUCUGCUGCAUGAAUGAAAAAACAAACAAACAAACAAAAACAAAUGACACGUUUCUGCAAAUAUCUGCUCCGCAACACCAAUAAAAGAUUUCUCUUUGA